UCCAUUAGUUUCACACACUUUCAUCAUCCAACAAUCACGAUUCUCCACCCAAACUCAACUCUGAAGAAUAUGAAUAAAUUGGUCCAAAAAAACAGUAUAAUCCCUUCUGUUCUUCAAAUGAUUUGAGGUAUGUAGAACCAUUCCUUCUAAUAUUCGUUGAGUUUUAUUAUUUAUCCCAAUUUAAAUAAAUCUCAAGAUUUUUAGAGUUGAAUAAAUCUUCAUCUUUUUCAAUUAAGUUAGUCUGUCAAUAGGUUUAUGAAACAUGAAUCUAGAAAAAAACAAACAUAUUUCUGAGAAAAUCUUGAAAAUCACUCUAAUCCGUGAAUACUCUUCAUUUUUUGUAAGUUAUUUUUUUUAAAAAAAAUAAUGUCAUUCCUUAUAUUUGACAUUAUUUACAACUAAAAUUUGGUCAAGUGUUAUUUAUUGUUUUAGUGCGUGGAUGAUAUAAUAGAUUCGUAUAAUUUCUCUUUUGAUGUGAACAUAAUUAAUAGGUCAAGAUAUAAUAUACUUGUUGACCUCUUUUGAGAUUAUUACUAAACAAAUUUUUAAAGACGAAUUUUUAAGUAACUCAUAUGUGCUCGCUUCAAAAUAUUCACUUUCGAGACACUAUACCUAUAUAUUAGGUUUAUUCUUACUUGCAAAAACUAAACUCAUAUCUUAGUUAUAGGUUCAUCCGUAUUAUUUGAGUUGAAUUUUAGUUAAAGUCAGGUUAUUAAUUUUUUACAUAUAUUAAUGCCUUUUUAUAAUGGUAGUGAACCUAUAAUUUCUUAUAAAUCAGCUUGAUGUGUGGCAAACACAAAACACAUAUAAAAUAAGCUUGUGUUGCAUCAAAUUUUGUAUUGAAAGAUAUCGUCUCUACGGAGACUGGUUUGAACAAUGUUCACAUAAUUCUUGGCUUCACAUUGUCCGGGAAAAUUAAUUGUCAACAACUACAAUUAAUCACGGGAAAAUUAUGUCGUGCAACAGCAUUAAUUACCAACGGGAGGAGUAGCGACAAUUGACAAGACAAGUGCAAUAUAAUUAUCCGAUUCAAUAGUAAAUAAUUUUAUUCUCAAAGUUAAGAUUCUAAUUUUGAAUGGACUAACAGAAUGAGAAUGUAGUCAAGAAAAAAUUCAUGGUUUUAGCCUCAAGAAAUAUAUAUGAUACAUAUUUUUCUAUCUUUGUUUAAUCAAUAUUUACAUAAGCUCUUCUGAUUAAUUUGGUUCUCCCUUUGUCAUUUGAUGUUUGUUAGUCUAUGUACAUCGAAGGAGCUUUAUUUAUGGUUAGAAGGGAGGACUGGGUCGUUGAAGAUAGAUUGGAAGCCCAACAAAAGAGCCAAUAUUUUCCUCUGGUAGUUUUUUAAUGCCAUGACUCUUGCUAUAACGACCCAAUCCUAGGACCAAGAUGUAACGGGUAUCCCAGGCCAAUGAAGACCUGAGCGACUCCUUAGCGUAACAUCAUGAGCAUUUCAUUUUUAAUAUGGAAAAAAACAUUUGCAUAAAGAAUAUCCCAUUAAGAAAAUCCAUUUAAAACAUAUUGAAGUUUAUACACGUUUAAAAUAAAAUAUUUAGCCCAUAUCUACAAAAUUCUACGAAGGCUCUAACAUACUAAUGAAAAACUGAAGUCGGGACAUGAUCCUGAUAAUAUCAUAAAACUAAUAAUAAUCACUUUUUAACUUUAUUGAUGGACUAAGUAGUUUCAUAAAUCUUAGGCAACCCAUGAGGUAUAUGGGUCCAGUCUUUGCUCAAUCAGUGAGGACUCAAUCCAUGUUUGCAUGAUGAAUCGAGUUGAACAUCAUUCGGCCAUCAUAUCAUACCGGCCUCAUAAAGGAAGUGUAAAUAAGGUUGUCCUGCUAGUUAUAGAACCACCCCUAUGUUAGUAAAACAUAGGUUUUUGGCUUUGGUCACUAGGACUUACACCUUCUCGGUGAACUACAUAAUCCUCUUUAAGCCCAAUUAGAAUAUCUUUCUGUAAAACCCCGUAUUUCGAGCUUGAAUGAAAACUGUCAUUUCUAUGCAUAGAUGAUCCAAAAGCCAUAAAUCCUAUGAAAAUUUUACAUGUUAAUCAAUUAUGUGGUGUGGAAAAUUGAAUGAGCUUUCCAUCGAUCUAAGAUUUGCCCAAAUCCGAUACCCACAUAAGAUGUUAUAGCUAAUUUUAGUCCUAGUCUAAAAACACCAUCAAUUUGGUACUUGGCGCAUCGCAGAGGUGGUCUAUUUAACAAUUGUCAAAUUCCAGUAGCCUAGCGAGAUAGUGGUGUAUGGCGUUGAAGUUCCAGGUCCCAACCAGUGGGAAAAAAUGAUGGCUCCGCAUCACAAUAACCCCAAGAAUCCCAUUGGUCAUUUUUUAGUGUGCCACCGUGAUAGUGGCCCGUCACGGUGGACCAUAAAAUUAGGCUCCUAGUUAUAUUUUAUUCUGUCUCAUUACGGGUAUGUUGGAUAAUUUUCACCCCCUUAUCAGCUUAAACAUGGGAUUUUUCUCCCAAGUGACCACAUUAUUCAUUUUUUUCUUCAAAAAUUUACAAGAAACUCUCUUAAGGGUUUCAAUCUAAAAACACAAAUAUCCUAAGAUUUCACCGUGGGUUUUCAAUAAUUCUUUGAGAUUCGGAAUACUCAUUACGAGGCUUACAAGAAGCACCCAUCAAUUUUUCGAAUAGCAUCCCUACAGUACAAGUUCAUUAAAAAGUCAUAAAUUAAGGUACGCGGGAUUUUCCUAAAAUCUCAUGGGCAUAGAAACUAUGAUUUUAAGAAUUGGGUUUUAAAUUUAUGAAUACAAUCAUGUUAUAGAAGUUUUGACGGUAUUGUUUUGGUUUUUAGACCUUCCCCCAAAAAUUGGAAAUUGUAUAUAUAUGUAAGCAUGCGUUUUAAAGAUUGAUGAUUGAAUUGAGAGAAUGACUCAUGAAAAAUUCCUCUCUUGUUAUGAUUUUCCUUUACUCAUGAUACACUAUGGAUUAUUUUGAAAUACAUCUUGAAAAGCAUGAUACGAAAUGUCUUGAAUUAUACUAUGACUUGAAUAUGAUUUUGAAAUAAAAAGAGAGGGGUAUGCAUGUUGAUAAAUGCUGAAUAUACAUAUAAUAAAAGAGUGCAUGGUUUUUCCAAAAGCACGUGACCACCAUAUGUUUGAAGAAUUCUUGCAUAAUUUUGACUUAUGUUUCGGAACAUUAAAUCAUCUCAUACUAUUGCAAAUAUUGGGUGGUAUGAAUUGAAUUUUAAUGAAAGAAUUAUGCUUAAUGCAUUAUCGCUCAGAAUCAUAACUUGCAAGACUUGGUAUGAUGAUACCAAAAUAGACAAUGCCAUAACAGACCCAAACAAACAUAGAAACCAAAUUUUCAUGACUUAAGGAUUUUAGGAUGAUAUAUGUUUAGAAAUGGAUAAAAUUAGGAAUAAAGAGAUAUGAGGUGGUCCCUCGAAAAAGAUACGAGUUCAGAAAACUCACUGCCCAAAAUAGUGAUUUGCUGAUCUGGUUAUAUUAUAUUAUGUUGGUCUAGUGCCCUGUGGUGUAUUAGACUCAGACACUCUAACUCUUGCCACAUACUUGGGUUGAGGGCUUUCCCACCGAGUCAAUGGUGGACUCCAUAUAGCCCGUGGGGUUUUAGACUUGUAGGGGCAUACCAUCUAACUCAUAAGUAAUACGAAGAUCAGAAAUUUUAUUGACAGAAAGGUUUUUAUGAUUAUCAAAAUGAUGCUCAUGUGUUUUGAAAACUAUUUUAUGUAUGAUGUUUGGACAAAUUGCUCUCUGUUAUUUUAUUUAUAUAAAAGAUUUAUUUUGGAUUACUUUGUCUACCAGUACAUCUGUAUUGACCCCCUACCUCCCAGGUUUGGAGGCUCUGUCUAAGGGUCCGGCUAAUCAGUGGAGUAUUCUAGCGAGAUGUGAUCCGUGAAGUGGUGAGCCUUCUUUGUUUCAGAAGGCUUGUUAUUUUAGAUUAUGUUAUUCUAUUGUUUUGGUCUACUAGGGGCCUUAUCCCAGCUUUUCAGAUAGUUAUCUUUAGAUCAUGUAGUAGAGAUUUCCCAGACUGAGUAAGAUCUUACUCAGAUGUUUUGAAUUGCAUCUUUCUUUCUUAUGUCUUGAAACCCAGAGUUAAUGACCAGGUUUUUGUAUUAGAUUAUGUUUUUGUAUUUUCUUUUAUGAUAUAAAUAUUGUGCAUGAUUACCAGAUCAGAUAGAGUAGGACAUCUGGG
rnacentral:lncRNA from 1 species